ensembl:misc_RNA Y_RNA Y RNA
GAUUGGUCCAAAGAUAGUUAAGUGUUCUCAAUUGAUUAUUCACUGCCAGUUGCAGACUGAAUUCUUUGUUCUGCUCUGCCCUCCUUCUCACACUACUAUACUUGACUAGCUUAAA